GGGAAGACAACAUGAGACUCUUCCUGGUAAUCCAGAUUAUAAACCCCGAUUCGCAACUCUAGAGCAACUUAAAGAGAGAAGAUGGAAAAGAGAUCUUUUGUUUAAAAUCAAUGAAGAUAAAGGCAGAAUCACGGUACUGAGUCCAUAACGUGUCAUGGGAGCCCGCGGCGGCGGCGGCUACAGCGAAAUGGCGGAGUCCAUGGCUGACACCCAGUGGCUGAUGACCAAGCCGCAGAACCUGAACGACGCCUACCGGUCCCCCAACAACUUCCUUGAGAUCUAUGAGCAAC